rnacentral:rRNA from 1 species
AACGAACGCUGGCGGCAGGCUUAACACAUGCAAGUCGAACGGUUGUAGCAAUACAGCAGUGGCAGACGGGUGAGUAACACGUGGGAACCUUCCUAGGGGUACGGAACAACUCAGGGAAACUUGAGCUAAUACCGUAUACGUCCGUGAGGAGAAAGAUUUAUCGCCCUUAGACGGGCCCGCGUCGGAUUAGCUAGUUGGUGGGGUAACGGCCUACCAAGGCGACGAUCCGUAGCUGAUCCUAGAGGAUGAUCAGCCACACUGGGACUGAGACACGGCCCAGACUCCUACGGGAGGCAGCAGUGGGGAAUCUUGGACAAUGGGCGCAAGCCUGAUCCAGCCAUGCCGCGUGAGUGAAGAAGGUCUUCGGAUUGUAAAGCUCUUUUGCCAGGGACGAUAAUGACGGUACCUGGAGACUAAGCCCCGGCAAACUUCGUGCCAGCCGCCGCGGUAA